GCCAGGCGCAGUGCUGCACGCCUAUAAUCCUAGUAGCUCUGGAGGCUGAGGCAAGAGGAUCGCAAGCUGAAAGCCAGCCUCAGCAAUGGCGAGGUCCUAAGCAACUCAGUGAGACCUUGUCUCUA
rnacentral:sRNA from 1 species